UGCAUAUCAAAAAGCGGAGGAAAAGAAACCAACAGGGAUUGCCCUAGUUACGGCGAGUGAAGCGGCAACAGCUCAAAUUUGAAAUCUGGCGUCUUCGGCGUCCGAGUUGUAAUUUGCAGAGGGCGCUUUGGCAUUGGCAGCGGUCCAAGUUCCUUGGAACAGGACGUCACAGAGGGUGAGAAUCCCGUACGUGGUCGCUAGCCUUUACCGUGUAAAGCCCCUUCGACGAGUCGAGUUGUUUGGGAAUGCAGCUCUAAAUGGGAGGUAAAUUUCUUCUAAAGCUAAAUACUGGCCAGAGACCGAUAGCGCACAAGUAGAGUGAUCGAAAGAUGAAAAGCACUUUGGAAAGAGAGUUAAAAAGCACGUGAAAUUGUUGAAAGGGAAGCGCUUGCAGCCAGACUUGCCUGUAGUUGCUCAUCCGGGUUUUUACCCGGUGCACUCUUCUACGGGCAGGCCAGCAUCAGUUUGGGCGGUUGGAUAAAGGUCUCUGUCAUGUACCUCCUCUCGGGGAGAACUUAUAGGGGAGACGACAUGCAACCAGCCCGGACUGAGGUCCGCGCAUCUGCUAGGAUGCUGGCGUAAUGGCUGUAAGCGGCCCGUCUUGAACACGGACCA
rnacentral:rRNA from 1 species